rnacentral:rRNA from 1 species
UCUGAUGGCAGCACGCCGCGUGAGUGAAGAAGGCUUUCGGGUCGUAAAACUCUGUUGUCGGGGAGGAAAGGUCUGAAGAUUAUCUGUUUGCUCCUUGACGUUACCCACCCAAAAAGCACCGGCUAACUCCGUG